rnacentral:tRNA from 1 species
GCCUCCUUAGCUCAGUGGUUAGAGCACUGGUCUUGUAAACGAGGGGUCAUGAGUUCGAAUCUCAUAGGGGGCU